rnacentral:rRNA from 1 species
GACGUAGGGCGCGAGCGUUGUCCGGAGUUAUUGGGCGUAAAGCGCGCGCAGGCGGCCUCGCGCGCCCGACGUGAAAUCCCUCGGCUCAACUGAGGAACUGCACGGGAAACUACCUGGCUUGAGUUCGGGAGAGGGAAGCGGAAUUCCGGGUGUAGCGGUGAAAUGCGUAGAAUAUCCGGAGGAACACCGGUGGCGAAGGCGGCUUCCUGGACCGACAC